rnacentral:lncRNA from 1 species
GUAGAAGAAGGGUGAAAAAAGUAAAAAUAACAAUGACAAUAUACAGUGUGAUUUUACACACACUAUUUUUGUGUAAACACAUGUACUCGUGAGCUCAACAAGAAGGCCCACGAGGAAUAUGGGCCUAAGGAAUGAUACAUGAACCCUUAAAUUUUAUAAUAAGUCAAUAUUUGAUUUGGGAGCAGGAUUCAGUGUGUGGACAGAAAAAGAAAAAACUGUUUAGCUGAAAACAAAUGUUGUUUCCUCAAUGCUUUCUUCAUGAUCUUCUUUGACUUUGAUUAGGUAAAAACGUAAUUAUCUUUUAUCUCUCCUUAUUUAUUUCUUCAGCAUCCUUCACCCCUUACAUUUAUUCUAACACUCACCCUUCAUACUUUCUCCCCACUCCACAACCUCCAUAAGCAAAAGUCUUCCUUCCUCCAUCUCCUUCACGCAUCCUCUUCUUCGAGCAACACUUUCCAACUUAAUUUUUUUUUUUUUUUUUUUUUUU